rnacentral:tRNA from 1 species
UCCCUGGUGGCUAAGAGGUUAAAGCCUCUGCCUGCAAUGCAGGAGACCUGGGUUCGAUCCCUGGGUUGGGAA